UCUGUUCAAGUAGAUCACUUGAUCAAAGGCAUUCCGUCUGUGACAUACCUAUGAGAAGAAAAUCAAAAGUAUAUCUCUACUUUUAUCUGUAGAGAACCCAGGAGCAAUGUUCAUUUUCCAAGACGGAAACUGGCCAAAUUUACAGUAAUGUUGGUACCGUUAUUUGGAGUACCUAACAUUCUAUUUAUAUUGAUACCAGCUGACUUGAAAACAGCAGUUGAUGUCCCAUACAUGUAUAUAUCGAUGACAUACAGUUCCUUUCAGGGGUUGAUUCUCUCCUUUCUGUACUGUUUCCUUCAUGUUGAGGUUCAUACUGCUAUUCGACAGAACUUCAAUCGUUUCCUGGAGCGGCGUCGACUAAAUUUGAGUCUUCGAUCGCAAACAGAGCAGACGUUCACAAAUCGCCGGAAGAGAUCGUUCACAUCGAUGAAUCCCUGCCAUUCGUAUGACACGGAAGUCACUUCCCAAUUGCAAGAGGCACACCAAUUCGUGAGUCCACAGCAGAUUUGCACUUCCUCUUUGCGGUCGGAUAAAUCCCGUAACGGACUUUACGAAUCAGAAUGCCGAGGACAGAAAAACUCUGUAAGACAAGAUUGUGUGUCGUUGAUUGACGGAAAUGCUUUCCCUUCAGAGAGUAUCCCGCUGAGCAGGAUCCUGGAAACAGAGAACUGUAGUGAACUCUGACGAAAUAAAGAGGAGGAGAAAGCAGUAUUUUCAUUUGACAAGAAAUGUUAAGAAUGAAGAAUAACUCACUUGGGUCUAUCGGUGAUUACCAGCUAAUUAAUCAAUGCCAAUGGUAAACGCUAUACAGAUAAAAGAAUUGCUUGAUAUCAACUUCGAGCGAACAGUCUCAGAAGCGAUUUAGAUAAACAGUGAAGCAGGUUGAUGAAAAUACAAAAAAAAAAGAAAUAAAAAUAAAACUGACGAUCAUACUGGUUUAGAAUUCGUGCUAGGAGAAUAAAACUUGGUUUAAUGAAGUAAUAUAGUUUAUACCAAGUGUUGAGUACUUCCUUGCUCUUCCGUUCACAAACUGUAGCAUUUGAAAGACUGAAUACAUACAUACGUACGAAAAGUCAAAAAUUAGCUGCAAUCUCGCCAAAACUUCCUUAAGGUUGUCCACACUGUCUUCAGGGCUCGCAUGCUAAGAUCUGGUAUUCUUGUGGUCUUACGUAAUCGAGGUUUGACCUGAACCGAUCCAGUUUUCAUUCUUGUGUUUCAGAUUAAACAUGGCCAUUUCGUUGGGUGUUUGUACCAAGGAAAAACAGAUUGGUGAUCUGAUUUCUCUAGAUGAAAGACAUGACAGGGGUUAAAAUUCAUCGCAGGCUUUCAGUACAAUACAAAGACAGCACUCUACCGCGGAGAUGUGUAUAUGAGUUGAAUGAGACGCUUAAAAACUGCCGGGCAAGCGUGUAGCGUGGGAGCAAUAUAUUCAUCAACCUCCGCUACUAACGUGAAUAUUCAGCAAGAUUGAGAGAUGGUUCUGGCGAACCGAUGAGUGACGAUCGAUGAGGUGGCAUGUUCUUUACAAAUUAGUCAUGGCUCUGCAUACGAAAUCAUCCGCAAGCUUUGUUUACGCAAUAUCUGUGUCGAUGAGUGCCAAGAGAGCUUAUUGAAACGCAUAAACGCAAUCGUGUGAAGAUUUGUCAACGCUUAAUCGACCACUACAACGAUGAAAUCUGUUUGGAGAGAUUUGUCACAGGAGAUAAGAUCUGGAUUCAUCACUUUGAGACAGAAUCCAAAAGGUAGAGUAUUGAGUGGAAACACCCGGAAUCACAAACGAGAAAGAAAUUCAAGACUUAAUUUUCCACAGAAAAUGUGAUACUAACCAGUUUGAGGACAUAAAAGAGCUUAUACUGAAGCAUUGCCUGAAAAAGAGAUCUACAGUUACCAGUGUAGGUUACAGUUAAAUACUGGCACACAAAUUGAAACCAGUAAUUCGCACUAAACGCCGAUGUCUAUUGUUGCACGACAACGCAUGCUCAAAUACGGCUGCUCACACUGUUGAAGCCAAUGAAAAAUUAGGUUUCCAAUUCAGAUCUCUCCGCUUCCGACUAUCUUCUGCUUGGAGCGCUCAAACAACAUUUACAAAGUUGUCGAUUUGCAAUGGACGAAGAAGCGCAGGAAGCGGUUCAUAAAUGACUUCGCGACCAUCCGGAAAUUUUCUCCGAUGGUAUAAGCAAGCUUGUGGACCGCUGAAAAAAGUGCAAGGAGAUUACGUCAGAAGAUGAUAUAAUUGCUCAACCCUGCUUUUGUUUUAAUAAAUUAGAGAAACAAGUGUGCAUAUAAUCUUUGACUUACCCUCGUAUAUGCAUAUAUGUAUAUAUAUAUAUGAGUGUGUGUGUGUAUAUGUGUGUGUGUGUGUAUGUGUCUGUGUGUCUGUGUAUGUUUGUGUGUAUGUAUACAGACAUACAUAUAUAAAUAUAUUUAGAUAUAUAUAUAUAUAUAUUUGUGCGCUUGUUGACAUGCAUUUAUGUAUAGAUGUUUAAAUAUAUGUCAUGUGCGUGUGCAUGCAUGCAUGCACAUAGACGUGGUUGAGUAUGUGCGGGAGUGUUGAUAUAUAUGUACAUAUUAGUACGUGAAGUAGAGUGAAAACGACGACAGUGUUAAUGCGGAUAUCAAUUAAGAAUAAAGAGUCAUUGAUAACUGAAAUUCAUUAGGUAUUGUUCCUUAUCCCAGGGUCAGCCUUAACCGAGUAGUUUCUUGAUCAAAUUACAUUCCAGCAAAGUCAAUGUGUGUCUAGUUUUAUAAACAGUUCAAAAGUGCAAAGCAAAAAAUCAUUGUGUAAUGUAUUUCGUUAGUGAGAAAUGAAACAAGAAAUAUUAGUAUUUUGUAUCCCUUUCCUGGGGGAGAAACUUGAAACUUGGACAGACUUCUUAAACAUUUGCACAGCCUCUCUGCCUUGUGAUAUGCCAGUUUAUUCCGCUUUUUGUUUUCUAAUUGCCGAUGAAAGCCGCUGCCUCUCGAUUUACAUUUCACUGUACCGAAGAAUAAUUUUCCAUUACUUUCUGAGUUCAAAUUCUGCCGAGGUCGACUUUGCAUUUCAUCCUUUUGGGGUCCAUAAAAUAAGUACCAGUGAAGUACUUGGGUAGAUGGUAUCGACCUGAUUAUUUCCCUGACAUUGUUGGCCUUGCGUCAAAAUUCGAAACAAUUUUGUUUCUCAUUUCAAGAUGGUAUGAGGUUUAGGGAUGUCAUUUGGUUCCUUCUAAUGAAAGCAGACUGUCCAAUGAUAUUAGAGGCUGUUUUGUUUGGUGUGAAGAAAAAAUUAGGGAUGCUGCUGUGUGCUGAGAAUGGAAGGAGUCUAUGCCGGAGAAAGAUUAGGAAACAUAAGAAGACAUGAUAACGUCACAUAGCAAAUGGUGAGAAUCAGCGUUGCGAUGUCAAAUGAUUGUGACGUCUUCAAUUGAUUUCAUCAUAAAGAAAUACGUUAAAAACGAUAAUUAUGAUGAUGAUCAUAUACAUACAUAUACAUACAUACACAC